GGAAGAGAUAACCGCUGAAAGCAUCUAAGCGGGAAACUUGCCUCGAGAUGAGUCUUCCCUGUCACUUUAAGUGACCUAAAGGAACGUUUAAGACUAAGACGUUGAUAGGCUGGGUGUGUAAGCGUAGCGAUACGUUGAGCUAACCAGUACUAAUGAACCGUGAGGCUUAACCUGACAACACCGAAAGUGUUUUG
rnacentral:rRNA from 1 species